CUCUUUUCUAUAUAAAUAACCCAGUCUCAGGUAGUUCUUUAUAGUAGUGUAAGAACGGACUAAUACAGGCCUGAAAAAGUUACCAUCUAAAAGCCACUUGAAUUAUUUCUGGGAAUAGACUGAGGUACUUUCUGUUCUAAAAUUCUUGACUUUUGUUACCCAGCCAAACGAGGGCCUGCUUGCCCAGUGCAGUAAGGCCAAACAUGCACACUGAGUUUAUGCAGUGGGAGAAAAGAGGGUGUUUUAUUUGCAGAGUGCCAAGCAAGGAGAAUACAGCAGCAGCUCACACUGAAGACUGAAACUCCCCAGUGGCUUGCAGGUAAUUGGAUCAAUUAAUGACAUUAAGAGGAAUCUUCUGGAAGCUGCUCCUAGAAGACUUGCCAAGCUCUCCCACAGACAAUGGCCUCUGCCUUCUCUCUCUGUUUUCUAACCCCCAAGUGACUCAAGGGAUCUGAAUUUCAGAAUGCUGGGGACUCUGGGGAUUCUCUGACUCUGCAAUGUCCCCAACUCCUGCUCUGCAGACAGACCUGCCCCAUUGCAUCUGCAGCUAGCUCUGCAAUCAUGCCCCAAGUAAAUGCUGGCUUGUCUUGAAGAAGUACCACCUGUCUUCUGCCUACUAAUGAAAACUGGACUUUUCUGAGGAAAGCUCUGUCAUCUGGAAUCUUCUGGCCAGUGGAUGAGCCAGCUCAGGGCCUCUUCUCUGCAUCUUCUUUGGGCUCGGAUUGUGGGAAGCCCUGGGGAAAGCAGAAUGAUCUAACAACAGGAUAAAGAUUGCUUUUGUUAUCAUGUCCCAUGGCUAAAAAUUACCCACUGCUUUUCCUUCUGAAACUGGGACCCUCAACUUGGAAUCUCUGGUUAUUAAUAAAGUCCCGAGAGAGAGCAAUA